rnacentral:rRNA from 1 species
UACGUAGGGGGCAAGCGUUGUCCGGAUUAUUGGCGUAAAGAGCGUGUAGGCGGCCAGGUAGGUCUGCUGUGAAAACUCGAGGCUUAACCUCGAGCUGUCGGCGGAAACCAUCUGGCUAGAGUCCGGAAGAGGAGAAUGGGAAUUCUCGGUGUAGCGGUGAAAUGCGUAGAUAUACGAGAGGAACACCUGCGGCGAAGGCGGGUUGCUGGGCUGACACUGACGCUGGAGGCG